CCUCCUACUGGGCGGGUGGGUCCCCCUUCCUUCCUCUCCCCCCUCAUCCCAGGGGGACUGAAGGAGGAGGGCUGGAGGGCGGGAAAGGAGAAUGGGCAGGAGCGGAGCGCAGAAGCUCGGUGGGAGCAGAGCAGGAUCAAUCGGGAUGAGAGUGGGAUCGGGCGAGAAGGAGCUCCCAAGGCCACCCCACCACCCACCCAGGACCCCCUCCCAAGGCCCCCCGAGAGCGAGAGGCGGCGUGGAAGAGCACCCCGAGAGACGCUGGAUAGAAAACCGACACAAAUUCAAGUCCAUGUGAAAUUUUCUCCUUUUUUUUUGGCUGUUUUUUUUUUUCUUUUUUUAUUAUUAUUAUCAUUAUUAUUACUCUCUCCUGUCACGCUUUCGGGGGGAGGGGGCGUCCGGUUUACAAGAAGCAGACGGGGCCGAUGUCGAUGCCGAAUUCCUGGUCUGGGGCGCCGACGUCCAUAGGAGCCAAAUCAAUGAUGGGAAGGCGAGAGGUCUUCGUCGUCUUGUACUCGAUGACUGUCUUGCCCCAUGCACCAGUGUGACUCUGUGGGGACACCACAGUCAUCCCCAUCCCCAAAAGACGUUCCACCACCCUGCCAGGACCCCCCAUCCCUCAGCACCCACCGUGCAGCCAUCCUCAGUGACACCGUAGGUGAAGCGGCUGUUGCCUUCAGCCCUGAUCUCGAUCUCGUUGGCGCCUUGGAGUAGAAGAGCCUUCUUCAGGUUGCCGGUGUCCUGGUCCAUGUAGGCAACACUGUUCUUGCAGUGGUAGGUGAUGUUUUGGGCGGCUUCAGUGGACAUGAGGCGCAGGAAGGUCAGCUGGAUGGCAACAUCAGCGGGGUUGGAGCCCUCACCGCCGUACUCAAACUGUGGGAGAAGAGAAAUCGGUCACCGUGGAGGUCGCCCAGCCUGGUUGGCCCCUCACCUCCUGGCCCCCCUGCUCACCUGGAAGCCGUCGCUCAUCGUCUCGCCGAACCAGAUGUGCUUCUUCUCCUUGGGGUUUUUGCUGAGCACCAGCGGAGCCAGGAGGACCCUGUGGGACAGGAGAAAGGGUGAGCGUGGCCAUCCUGCCUGGGCAGAGUCUCCCCCUCCAGCCCCGACCCUCAUCCCUGUAAGGAACCCAAUGUCAGUGGGGACUCCCCGUUCCCCCCAGGAUGCUGGAUAUCACGUCUCAUCCAGGAACUUACUCGUGGACCGGCAGGACCAGAAGCACCAGAAGGACCUUGUUCACCAGGAGAGCCCUGUGCCAAGCAAGGAGGAAGAGGAAGAGGUGCCAUCAGCAUCUCGUGCUGUCUCCAGGACAUAGGGCAGCACUUGGUGCCACCAUCACCCCACAGGACUUACGGGAGGACCAGGUGGGCCCUGGAGACCGGAGAAACCUCUGUGACCCUUCAUGCCUCUGUCACCCUGUUCACCAGUUUCACCUUUGUCACCACGGGGACCUUGUGGACCCUGGAGAAGGAGGAGGAGGAAGAAGACAUGUUGAGUGAGAUCCGGACCAACCAUUGCCCCCAUACCUGUGGGGAUGCAGAGACAGCAAGAAGGAUGGAGGAGAACAUCUACUUACAGCAGGACCACGAGCACCAGCAGGACCAGGGGGACCAGCAGGACCUUGGGGACCCUGGCACAGGAGAGAAGG